rnacentral:rRNA from 1 species
AUUGAACGCUGGCGGCACGCCUAACACAUGCAAGUCGAGCGGCAGCGAGACUAGUAGCAAUACUAGUUGUCGGCGAGCGGCGGACGGGUGAGUAACACGUAGGAAUCUGCCCUUAAGCGGGGGAUAACCAAGGGAAACUUUGGCUAAUACCGCAUAAUCUCGAGAGAGCAAAGCUGCCCGCAAGGGUGGCAAUUGAGGAGGAGCCUGCGUCCGAUUAGCUAGUUGGUGGAGUAAUGGCCUACCAAGGCGAUGAUCGGUAACUGGUCUGAGAGGACGACAAGUCACACUGGGACUGAGACACGGCCCAGACUCCUACGGGAGGCAGCAGUGGGGAAUAUUGGACAAGGGGGGCAACCCUGAUCCAGCGAUGCCGCGUGAGUGAAGAAGGCCUUCGGGUCGUAAAGCUCUUUAGGUUGGGAAGAAGGGUAUUGGCUGAAUAAUCCAGUACUUUGACGGUACCGACAGAAUAAGCACCGGCAAACUCUGUGCCAGCAGCCGCAGUAAUAC